AUUGAACGCUGGCGGCAGGCCUAACACAUGCAAGUCGAGCGGAGCGGCGGACGGGUGAGUAAUGCCUAGGUAUCUGCCUGGUCGUGGGGGAUAACGUCCGGAAACGGGCGCUAAUACCGCAUACUAUCGGCUGAACCUAUAUGGGAUUAGCUAGUAGGUGGGGGAAAGGCUCACCUAGGCGACGAUCUCUAGCUGGUCUGAGAGGAUGAGCAGCCACACUGGAACUGAGACACGGUCCAGACUCCUACGGGAGGCAGCAGUGGGGAAUAUUGCACAAUGGGCGCAAGCCUGAUGCAGCCAUGCCGCGUGUAUGAAGAAGGCCUUAGGGUUGUAAAGUACUUUCAGCGGGGAGGCGUUACCCGCAGAAGAAGCACCGGCUAACUCCGUGCCAGCAGCCGCGGUAAUUC
rnacentral:rRNA from 1 species